rnacentral:rRNA from 1 species
GAUGAACGCUGGCUACAGGCUUAACACAUGCCAGUCGAGGGGAAACGACGGGGAAGCUUGCUUCCCCGGGCGUCGACCGGCGCACGGGUGAGUAACGCGUAUCCAACCUGCCUCUGACUGAGGGAUAACCCGUCGAAAGUCGGCCUAAUACCUCAUGGCAUCGUCUGCGGGCAUCCAACGACGAUUAAAGAUUUCAUCGGUCAGAGAUGGGGAUGCGUCUGAUUAGCUUGUUGGCGGGGUAACGGCCCACCAAGGCGACGAUCAGUAGGGGUUCUGAGAGGAAGGUCCCCCACAUUGGAACUGAGACACGGUCCAAACUCCUACGGGAGGCAGCAGUGAGGAAUAUUGGUCAAUGGGCGAGAGCCUGAACCAGCCAAGUAGCGUGCAGGAUGACGGCCCUAUGGGUUGUAAACUGCUUUUAGGCGGGGAUAAAGUGAGGGACGUGUCCUUCAUUGCAGGUACCGCAUGAAUAAGGACCGGCUAAUUCCGUG